rnacentral:tRNA from 1 species
GUUGGGAUAGCAAAGUUCGGCCCUGCAAGGGACUUAAAACCCCUAAACAGAUGUUCAAAUCAUCUUCCCCAACA